rnacentral:rRNA from 1 species
ACGGGUGCGUAACGCGUGGGAAUCUGCCCUUGGGUUCGGAAUAGCAGUUAGAAAUGACUGCUAAUACCGGAUGAUGUCUUCGGACCAAAGAUUUAUCGCCCAAGGAUGAGCCCGCGUAAGAUUAGCUAGUUGGUGGGGUAAUGGCCCACCAAGGCGACGAUCUUUAGCUGGUCUGAGAGGAUGAUCAGCCACACUGGGACUGAGACACGGCCCAGACUCCUACGGGAGGCAGCAGUGGGGAAUAUUGGACAAUGGGCGAAAGCCUGAUCCAGCAAUGCCGCGUGAGUGAUGAAGGCCUUAGGGUUGUAAAGCUCUUUUACCAGGGAUGAUAAUGACAGUACCUGGAGAAUAAGCUCCGGCUAACUCCGUGCCAGCAGCCGCGGUAAUACGGAGGGAGCUAGCGUUGUUCGGAAUUACUGGGCGUAAAGCGUACGUAGGCGGUUACUCAAGUCAGAGGUGAAAGCCCGGGGCUCAACCCCGGAACUGCCUUUGAAACUAGGUAGCUAGAGUCUUGGAGAGGUUAGUGGAAUUCCGAGUGUAGAGGUGAAAUUCGUAGA